rnacentral:rRNA from 1 species
AUUUUGAGAUUGUUUUGGUUUUUGUGUUUAGUGGGUGUCGUACCUUUUGCAUCAUGAUUCUUUGAGGGGAGGCUAGUUAUUUUAGUGUCUCGAAAAAUGGCGAUUUAGGUUUAUCUUGUUCUUUGAACUUAGAGGUUGGCGGGUAGCUGAGCUUUAGAGAUGGACUUGGGAGUGAUAAGUAAUACGCGCCAUUUUAUAGCUAGUUGCCAAGUGUUUUUUUGUUUUAGUCUUGUUGCUUGGAUGUGGCGAGUCAGUCAAGAGAGUUUUUGGGCAUAGUGUUGGAGAUGGGUUAGAGGUACCCCUUUCUAGUUUCGUGUUAUAACGAUGUUCUUUUGUUCAUUUUCUUUGUUGUAGCACUUGGCUUUUAAACUUUUUUUCAGAGUAUGAAGGAAUUAGUAGUUUGAAUGGCUUCUUUUUUUCUCAAAUUUCUCCGGUCUGUUUCUCAAAAACAUUUCCAUUAUUCUAUGAAGCUUUAAUGGUAGUGCCUGCUCGAUGUUUUAAUAAAUGGCCGCAGUAUUUUGACUGUGCUAAGGUAGCAUAAUUAGUUGCCUUAUAAUUGAAGGAUUGUUUGAAUGGUUUGACUAGGGGAAUUAUUUAGAUGGGGGCUGUUUUUGAAAUUAGGUGGCCGAUGCAGAUCUCGGUGUUUUUUAAUUAGACGGAAAGACCCCGAGAGCUUUAUAGUUUUUUGUUUACUUGGGGCAAGGGCAUAUUCUUCAUAUGCUUUCAGAUCCUCUGGGAAGAAGUUUUAGUUACCUCGGGGAUAACUAGGUAAGAGGCGAGGAGAGGUCUUAUCGAUUCGUCUGUUUGCUAUCUCGAUGUUGACUUAGGGUUAGCGUUAGGGUGCAGGAGCUCUUGCGUUAAGGUCUGUUCGACCGUAUACCCCUUCAUGAGUUGAGUUAAGACCGGCGUGAGCCAGGUCGGUUCUUAUCUUUUAUUGUCAUGGUUUCGUACGAAAGGAGCAUCUAUGAUUUAGGUU